rnacentral:rRNA from 1 species
GACGUAGGGGGCAAGCGUUGUCCGGAAUUAUUGGGCGUAAAGGGCGCGUAGGCGGUUGGAUAAGUCUUGUGUGAAAUCUUCGGGCUCAACUCGAAGUCUGCACGAGAAACUAUCUGGCUUGAGUGUGGGAGAGGUGAGUGGAAUUCCUGGUGUAGCGGUGAAAUGCGUAGAUAUCAGGAGGAACACCUGUGGCGAAAGCGGCUCACUGGACCACAACUGACGCUGAGGCGCGAAAGCUAGGGGAGCAAACAGG